rnacentral:rRNA from 1 species
AAUAAGCCCCGGAUUAACUUCGUGCCAGCAGGCCGGGGUAAAACAGAGGGUGCCAAGCUUUAAUUUGAUUUACUGGGCGUAAAGCGCGCGUAGGUGGCUAAUUAAGUCAAAUGAGAAAUCCCCGAGCUUAACGUGGGAAUUGCAUUUGAUACUGUUUAGCUAGAGUAUGGGAGAGGAUGGUAGAAUUCCAGGUGUAGCGGUGAAAUGCGUAGAGAUCUGGAGGAAUACCGAUGGCGAAGGCAGCCAUCUGGCCUAAUACUGACACUGAGGUGCGAAAGCAUGGGGAGCAAACAGGAUUAGAUACCCUGGUAGUCCAUGCCGUAAACGAUGUCUACUAGCCGUUGGGGCCCUUGAGGCUUUAGUGGCGCAGCUAACGCGAUAAGUAGACCGCCUGGGGAGUACGGUCGCAAGACUAAAACUCAAAUGAAUUGACGGGGGCCCGCACAAGCGGUGGAGCAUGUGGUUUAAUUCGAUGCAACGCGAAGAACCUUACCUGGCCUUGACAUACAGAGAACUUUCCAGAGAUGGAUUGGUGCCUUCGGGAACUCUGAUACAGGUGCUGCAUGGCUGUCGUCAGCUCGUGUCGUGAGAUGUUGGGUUAAGUCCCGCAACGAGCGCAACCCUUUUCCUUAUUUGCCAGCACUUCGGGUGGGAACUUUAAGGAUACUGCCAGUGACAAACUGGAGGAAGGCGGGGACGACGUCAAGUCAUCAUGGCCCUUACGGCCAGGGCUACACACGUGCUACAAUGGUCGGUACAAAGGGUUGCUACUGCGCGAGCAGAUGCUAAUCUCAAAAAGCCGAUCGUAGUCCGGAUCGCAGUCUGCAACUCGACUGCGUGAAGUCGGAAUCGCUAGUAAUCGCGGAUCAGAAUGCCGCGGUGAAUACGUUCCCGGGCCUUGUACACACCGCCCGUCACACCAU